AUUGAACGCUGGCGGCAGGCUUAACACAUGCAAGUCGAACGAGUGGCGGACGGGUGAGUAAUGUCUGGGAAACUGCCUGAUGGAGGGGGAUAACUACUGGAAACGGUAGCCAAUACCGCAUACCAUCAGAUUUGCCCAGAUGGGAUUAGCGAGUAGGUGGGGUAAUGGCUAACCUAGGCGACGAUCCCUAGCUGGUCUGAGAGGUUGACGCGCCACACUGGAACGGGGACACGGUCCAGACUCCUACGGGAGGAAGCAGUGGGGAAUAUUGCACAAUGGACGAAAGCCUGAGGCAGCCAUGCCGCGUGUGUGAAGAAGGCCUUGGGGUUGUAAAGCACGUUCAGCGAGGAGGCGUUACCCGCAGAAGAAGCACCGGCUAACUCCGUGCCAGCAGCCGCGGUAAUAC
rnacentral:rRNA from 1 species